CCCUCUCCCGUCCGCGGGUGGGGCGCCCGCCGGAGGAUAACCAAACUCUGAUUUAACGACGUUUCUUCUGAGUGACACAAGCAAAUAAUCAAAACUUUUAACAACGGAUCUCUUGGUUCUGGCAUCGAUGAAGAACGCAGCGAAAUGCGAUAAGUAAUGUGAAUUGCAGAAUUCAGUGAAUCAUCGAAUCUUUGAACGCACAUUGCGCCCGCCAGCAUUCUGGCGGGCAUGCCUGUUCGAGCGUCAUUUCAACCCUCAAGCUCUGCUUGGUGUUGGGGCUCUACGGUUGACGUAGGCCCUUAAAGGUAGUGGCGGACCCUCUCGGAGCCUCCUUUGCGUAGUAACAUUUCGUCUCGCAUUGGGAUUCGGAGGGACUCUAGCCGUAAAACCCCCAAUUUUACUAAGGUUGACCUCGGAUCAGGUAGGAAUACCCGCUGAACUUAAGCAUAUCAAUAAGCGGAGGAAUCU
rnacentral:sRNA from 1 species